CCCCCCCCCUUUUUUUUUUUUUUUUUUUUAAAAAAAAAAAUUUUGGGGGGGGGGGAAAAAAAAAAAACCCCCUUUUUUUCCCCCCUUUUUUUUAAAAACCAAAAUUUUGGGGAAAAAAAAGGGGGGGGAAA